UAAAAAUUAACACGUGGUUAUCGUGUUUGUUUAGUUAUUAUUUUUUGUAAUCAAUAUAUUAAAAUAACGUUAUCGUUUUGGACAUAAGUGAAGGUCGCUCGGAAUACCCGGCACGACUGCGCAUCUGGCUACGUCAUACCUCUUUACCCCGCACCCCCUCUGAGACCCGCUAUUCCUAUACCGGGGUCGGGUCGACUCACUCCGCACACUCGCUCAUUCAUUGGACAUUCGCAAACGUAGGUAGACGUAGUCAGAGAGAAUCGAUUUCUCGUGUCAUAAUAAUUUACUAUCCUUCAACGCUAUGUUGAAAGAAACCAGCCGCUAUGAUAGCCGUAAUACUUCACAAGAAGAGAGGCGUCCAUUAGCGGCAAGUCGUUUACCAGCUAUCGAAGAACUCACACUUGGCUUAAAGCAAAAACUUCACCUGCAGGCUCGGACAAGAGCUGCACCUUAUUAUAUUAGAAAGCAAGAACCAGUUGAUCUCGUGGAAAGGUUACUAGAGCAACGUGCCCUUGUCGCCGAGGCUGUGCGAAGAUUACAGGAAAAGAAACAACCGUGUCAUGAAAUAUCAGUAGACUCAUAAUUUAUUUAUGUUAUUUAAACAAAACAUUUUAGUUGUGAAAGUGUGGAACGUGUUGUGAAAUCGUUUGUGUGUAAGAAACGUGUCGGGUUACAAUGGUGCUAUAUGCGGAGAGCAUGCGAGAACGAGAUGGCUGAUUGUGACGUGUCCACGCACGACACGAAUCACGAGAAUGAACCAAAAUGGCCGCCGGUAUUCUACAAUCAUAAUAUUUAUUCUUCGUUUUAUAGUGACCUUAACUGAUCAAAGUACUGAAUGACGUAACCUAACGUUUAGGAUUGUAAUACGGUUUUAAAUGAUUUUUACGUAACGUUAUUUUCUUUUAUACCGUACCGUUUAUUACUGUAAGCAAAGCAUUUCCAAAUAAGAUGAUUAACAUAAUGAUACCAACAUUUAUAAAUGAAAAGUAUUUACAAGCUUUAAAUUAUUGUUUUCCUAUAGUUGUAUUGUAAAAAUAAUUACUAUUGUAAUAAAUAUGACUAAUCUUUACUUAUAAAUAUUUCACUUCAAUCGAUAUUUGUAUACGUAAUAAUUUAACCAUAAAACAAAAUGGGACGAAACAAUACUUAAUUCAUCUUAAUAUUUCAAUAUUAUGCGACAUGUUCCGUUAUCACUUUCACAACAACUGUAAACAUAACAGUACAUAAUAAAAGUGUUUAUAAGUACA